rnacentral:rRNA from 1 species
AAAUUGAAGAGUUUGAUCAUGGCUCAGAUUGAACGCUGGCGGCAGGCCUAACACAUGCAAGUCGAACGGUAACAGGAARCAGCUUGCUGUUUCGCUGACGAGUGGCGGACGGGUGAGUAAUGUCUGGGAAACUGCCUGAUGGAGGGGGAUAACUACUGGAAACGGUAGCUAAUACCGCAUAACGUCGCAAGACCAAAGAGGGGGACCUUCGGGCCUCUUG